GCGCAGCCUGGUAGCGCACAUCGUUCGGGACGAUGGGGUCGCAGGUUCAAAUCCUGCCACUCCGACCA
rnacentral:tRNA from 1 species